rnacentral:rRNA from 1 species
GGCGAAGGGGGCUAGCGUUGUUCGGAAUUACUGGCGUAAAGCGUGUGUAGGUGGUUGUCAUAGUCAGGCGUGAAAGCCUUGAGCUCAACUCAAGAAAUGCGCUUGAUACUGGGCAGCUAGAGGACCGGAGAGGAUAGUGGAAUUCCCAGUGUAGUGGUGAAAUACGUAGAGAUUGGGAAGAACACCAGUGGCGAAGGCGGCUAUCUGGACGGUUUCUGACACUAAGACACGAAAGCGUGGGGAGCAAACAGGG